GCUUCAUAUCUCUUCCUCAUGCAUUAAACCUUAUGCUUUCUUUGUAUAAAUGAUUGCGCAUGCCUUUUACCAUACUGUUGCGAUUUGUUUUGGUUAUUUGUGAAUCUUAAGGUUUGUUUGUGUGCGUUUGAAUCGGUGGCCUAAGGAUAUUUUUUUUUGUUAUCGUUUUAAGUUGUUGGUUUAAGGUAAGUGUUGGAGGCACUUAAGAGUGUAGAAGUUCCGUUUAGGGAUUCAAAGAGAGGAUUGAAAAAGGGUUUAAGGUAUUCACGGUUAGGAGAAAGAAGAACUAAGGAAGGAGAUUUUAAAGAAAUGGUCCUCGUUAAGUGAAGAAGUCUUGGUUUUGAUCCAACUGUAGUUAAUAUAUUUCUUGAACUUUCUGUCUAACAAAUGACAAAUAUUUUUUUAAAGUGGAUUGGUGUUUAGUCUCCCCAUGCCUUGGGAGUACACGUACAGGGAGGAGAAAUGGGGGCUAUUGGGUUUCUUUAUGGCAAUUAGAUUUAUUAUUAUUAUUGAAAAUUAAGGCUAAUCAAUUCCAUUUGGGAGGGAUGCUGACGGGUACACAAGAGGAAUAUGUGUCGUUUCCCAUUCUUCCCCUUUGCUUUGGUUCAGAUCUUUUCCUCUUCUUUUUGGACCCGUGUUUUAUCCAUAGGCACCCUUUUGUUUUGUUGGCACAUGAUAAAGGUUCAAUUGGGCCGGGCUUCUGGCUCACUUUGGGUUUAAACAAGCACCCCUCAGUUUGCUUUCACACAUCCAGUCUGUUUGAACUUCAUUUAUUUUUGUUACAUUACUUUGAUAUUC